rnacentral:rRNA from 1 species
CCUACGGUGGGCUGCAGUGAGGAAUAUUGGUCAAUGGACGCAAGUCUGAACCAGCCAUGCCGCGUGCAGGAUGACGGCUCUAUGAGUUGUAAACUGCUUUUGUACGAGGGUAAACCCCGAUACGUGUAUCGGUUUGCAAGUAUCUUACGAAUAAGGAUCGGCUAACUCCGUUCCAGCAGCCGCGGUAAUACGGAGGCUCCGAGCGUUCUCCGGAUUUAUUGGGUUUAAAGGGUGCGUAGGCGGUUUGAUAAGUUAGAGGUGAAAUGUCGGGGCUCAACCCCGUAACGGCCGCUAAUACUGUUGGACUAGAGAAUAGUUGCGGUAGGCGGAAUGUAUGGUGUAGCGGUGAAAUGCUUAGAGAUCAUACAGAACACCGAUUGCGAAGGCAGCUUACCAAACUAUAACUGACGUUGAGGCACGAAAGCGUGGGUAGCGAACAGGAUUAGAUACCCGGGUAGUC